GGUUAUGGGUACUUUUUUUUUGUAAGCUGCAAAGGGACAGAAGGUAUAUGUUUAAACCACAUGGAGUUUUUGAGUCAUGCAGCUAGAUUAUCCAGGGUAAAAAAUAUUAGUGAAUACUUCUUGCUUCCAAUUGAGUUCCGAUGGUGUAGAUUGUCGUUUCCUUUAAUUUUUUUAGGCUGUUUUUUACAUGUUAGAAACUGAAGGUCUUAAGAAUUUUUCUGUCUGCCUCUCUAUUUUGUUGUAUUUUAAGGGAGAUCUAGACAUUCUUUGUUUAAUGUUGAAGCACUUUGAAAAUCAAAAAAUAAGGACAAAAAGGCAUCGAAUACCAGUUAUUUUUAUAGAAGUUAAAUAGCAUAAAAUUGAUUACCAGUUAUUUGCACAUGUUUAUAUCAUGCUUGAAACCUACUCUGAUAAAAAAAAAAAAUGAAAAGAAGCCAGUAGAUGAUUGACUAGAUAUUUUGGCCUUAGAUAAUAUAGGUGAUUGAAUCACAAACUCCUGGUAGUUUGAACACUAUUCCAUCUGUCCUUUAUGGCUUAUUUUAUCUGCUCAUAUGCCUAUUCAUUCGAUGGGUUAUGGGUACUUUUUUUUGUAAGCCGCAAAGGGAUAGAAGGUAUAUGUCUAAACCACAUGGAGUUUUUGAGUCAUGCAACUAGAUUAUCCAGGGCAAAAGUAUUAGUGAAUUGCUUACUUUUAGCACUUUGAUUUAGUUUACUUUAGAUUUUCUGUCGUGCGGUCUGUUUACACUGUUGAAUUAUACAAUUUAUCUUUUCUUGCUUGUUUUUGCACUAGCUGUCCUUAGUUAUGCUAGAAAUACUUACUGAAAGACAUCUAGCUUAGUUUCAGUUAUGCUGCCCAGGCAUGCUCUGUAGUAAUUUGUCUAUUGAAUGAUGGUAUUCACUUAGAUGGAAAUUCUCAAAAAAAAAAAGAAAAGAAAAUGGACUUGUCUCAGUUAAUACAGACUUAGCAUUGAUUACCGAUAGUUUCUUUAGUUGUUGAAUGGCAAUAAAUUGUUGCUUUCCCUCAUUUAGGCUUUGAUUUUUCAUUCGUAAGAAUAUGCAUGACCCACUUUUGGUUUCUUUGUAUACCAUCAGCCUUCAGUUUGAGGUACAGGUACUCUUUUGUAAGUUACAAGAGUCAGAAAAUAUAUUGUUUAACUGUAAGAGGUCGAGUUGUCUCCUAUGGCAAAAAUAACUUACCAGACUGCAACUUUCUUGUCCAAUUCCCGUACUUCACUUUCAUUUCAUCGUCAUAUUGGUUUUUCCCAUUGUUGGUUUUGCAGUAUACUAUUUGCUAGUCAACAGUGUCUCUACUUGUUUUUGUCUUCCCUCCUUUAUCAAUGAGGAACUCCCGAAUGAAAGUCCUGCCUAUCUUAAGCGAAUGGUUUCUUUUCCCUCCAGGGGAAGUCAUCUGGGUACGCAUUGUUGUUAAAAAGUCUAUUCUCAUUCUAUGAUUCUUUAUGCAUGAUCUUCGUCUACUUCAAGCUCAAGAUACUCUUUCGAUGGGUUGCAAACUGUAAAAAGUGAAGUUGUCUCCUAAGGCAAUUAGAGCACUUAUAUACAAGGUGGUGACACAAGGAACUUUGGGAUUUAAAUUGAAUGUCUAGAUGGUGACACGAGGAACUAAGUAUUGCAUCUUUUUUGGAUUCUAUCUAAUCUAGGUGAGUCACUUGAGAUUUUAUCUAUGGGCUUGUUAAAAUCUGGAGUAUUACCAAUUAUUUGGUGGUAGGCAAGAUGCAUUAUGGUGAAAUAAAUGUAGAAAAGAAAAAUUGUCUUUAGAAUCUGAAAGUAAGCUUCUAGAAAUACCAGAUUUACAAGAAAGCUCAUUGUAGCAAGGUCCAUUGGAGAGGUUGUUUUUUACCAUUCUACAAGUUUUAAGCUAGAGUA